rnacentral:rRNA from 1 species
CAAGGCGGAGUAACAUAAUCCCAGCUUGCUGGGAUGCUGACGAGCGGCGGACGGGUGAUUAAUGCAUAGGAAUCUGCCCGAUAGUGGGGGAUAACCGGGGGAAACCCGGGCUAAUACCGCAUACUUCCUACGGGAAAAAGGGGGCUUCGGCUCCCGCUAUCGGAUGACCCUAUGUCGGAUUAGCUAGUUGGUGAGGUAAAGGCUCACCAGGGCAACGAUCCGUAGCUGGUCUGAGAGGAUGAUCACCCACAUCGGGACUGAAACACGGCCCGAACUCCUACGGGAGGCAGCAGUGGGGAAUAUUGGACAAUGGGGGCAACCCUGAUCCACCCAUGCCGCGUGUGUGAAAAAGGCCCUCGGGUUGUAAAGCACUUUCAGCGAGGAAAAACGCCUAGCGGUUAAUACCCGCUAGGAAAGACAUCACUCGCAAAAAAAGCACCGGCUAACUCCGUGCCAGCACCCGCGGUAAUACGGAGGGUGCAAGCGUUAAUCGGAAUUACUGGGCGUAAAGCGCGCGUAGGUGGCUUGAUAAGCCGGUUGUGAAAGCCCCGGGCUCAACCUGAGAACGGCAUCCGGAUCUGUCAAGCUAGAGUGCAGGAGAGGAGGGUAGAAUUCCCGGUGUAGCGGUGAAAUGCGUAGAGAUCGGGAGGAAUACCAGUGGCGAAGGCGGCCUUCUGGACUGACACUGACACUGAUGUGCUAAAGCGUGGGUAGCAAACAGGAUUAGAUACCCUGUAGUCCACGCCGUAAACGAUGUCGACAGCCGUUGGGUGCCUAGCGCACUUUGUGGCGAAGUUAACUCAUAAGUCACCG